rnacentral:rRNA from 1 species
GAAAGGCCGCAAUAUUUUAAUUGUGCUAAGGUAGCAUAAUCAUUAGAUUUUUAAUAAUGAUCUGGAAUGAAUGAUUAAAUGAAAUAAUAACUUUUUUAUAUUUAUAAUUUGAAAUUUAUAUUUAAGUUAAAAAGCUUAAAUUUAAAAAUUAGACGAGAAGACCCUAUAGAAUUUAAUUAUAAAUAAAAAUUUAAAUUUAAAAUUUUUAAAUAAUUUAGUUGGGGAGAUUAUAAAAUUUAGUAAACUUUUAAAAUUAAUUUCAUUUAUUUUUGUUUAUUUGAUCUUUUUUUAAGAAAAGAAAAAUUAAAUUACCUUAGGGAUAACAGCAUAAUUUUAAAAAAAAGUUCUUAUUUUUUUUAAUGUUUAUGACCUCGAUGUUGGAUUAAAUAAAUUUUAAUUGAAGAUAAUUAAAUUAAUAGUCUGUUCGACUAGUAAAAUUUUACAUGAUCUGAGUUCAAACCGGUGUAAGCCAGGUCGGUUUCUAUCU